rnacentral:rRNA from 1 species
GGAAUCUUCCGCAAUGGGCGAAAGCCUGACGGAGCGACGCCGCGUGAGUGAUGAAGGCCUUCGGGUUGUAAAGCUCUGUGGGGAGGGAAGAAUAAGUUCAAGCGAAUACCUUGAAUGAUGACGGUACCUCCUUAGCAAGCACCGGCUAACUCUGUGCCAGCAGCCGCGGUAAUACGGAGGGUGCGAGCGUUGUCCGGAAUCACUGGGCGUAAAGGGCGCGUAGGCGGCCUGGUAAGUAGGGGGUGAAAUCCUGCGGCUUAACCGCAGGGCUGCCUUCUAAACUGUCAGGCUCGAGCACAGUAGAGGCAGGUGGAAUUCCCGGUGUAGCGGUGGAAUGCGUAGAGAUCGGGAAGAACAUCAGUGGCGAAGGCGGCCUGCUGGGCUGUUGCUGACGCUGAGGCGCGACAGCGUGGGGAGCAAAC